rnacentral:rRNA from 1 species
GACGAACGCUGGCGGCGUGCCUAAUACAUGCAAGUUGAGCGCUGAAGGUUGGUACUUGUACCAACUGGAUGAGCAGCGAACGGGUGAGUAACGCGUGGGGAAUCUGCCUUUGAGCGGGGGACAACAUUUGGAAACGAAUGCUAAUACCGCAUAAAAACUUUAAACACAAGUUUUAAGUUUGAAAGAUGCAAUUGCAUCGCUCAAAGAUGAUCCCGCGUUGUAUUAGCUAGUUGGUGAGGUAAAGGCUCACCAAGGCGAUGAUACAUAGCCGACCUGAGAGGGUGAUCGGCCACAUUGGGACUGAGACACGGCCCAAACUCCUACGGGAGGCAGCAGUAGGGAAUCUUCGGCAAUGGACGAAAGUCUGACCGAGCAACGCCGCGUGAGUGAAGAAGGUUUUCGGAUCGUAAAACUCUGUUGGUAGAGAAGAACGUUGGUGAGAGUGGAAAACUCAUCAAGUGACGGUAACUACCCAGAAAGGGACGGCUAACUACGUG